UAAACGACUCUCGGCAACGGAUAUCUCGGCUCAUGCAUCGAUGAAGAACGUAGCAAAAUGCGAUACUUGGUGUGAAUUGCAGAAUCCCGUGAACCAUCGAGUUUUUGAACGCAAGUUGCGCCCAAAGCCACAUGGUUGAGGGCACGUCUGCCUGGGCGUCACGC
rnacentral:rRNA from 2 species